rnacentral:rRNA from 1 species
UACAGAGGUCUCAAGCGUUGUUCGGAUUCAUUGGGCGUAAAGCGUGCGUAGGCGGUCCCGCAAGUCCGCUGUGAAAGCCCCGAGCUUAACUUGGGAACUGCAGUGGAAACUAUGGGACUUGAAUCCGGCAGAGGGGGGUGGAAUGCCACGUGUAGCAGUGAAAUGCGUAGAGAUGUGGCGGAACACCGAUGGCGAAGGCAGCCCCCUGGGCUGAGAUUGACGCUCAGGCACGAAAGCGUGGGGAGCAAACAGG